GCCGAGGAGAAGGGCCCAAUGACAAGCGAAAAGGCCCUACAAAUCUAAAUAUAGCCAGUGGUAAGGAACCAGCUUGUUCGGAGACUCGAUUGGACGCAUCUGCUACCUCGAAAAACCUAAGGUCUUCUUAUUUUUAGCUGGAGCCCUAGAAAAAGGGGAAGUGGCUUUGGCCCAGAUAGAUACCCUAGCAAAAGGCCUGGGUGGCC
rnacentral:lncRNA from 1 species